rnacentral:rRNA from 1 species
UACGGAGGGUGCAAGCGUUAUCCGGAUUCACUGGGUUUAAAGGGUGCGUAGGCGGGCAGGUAAGUCAGGGGUGAAAUCUUCGAGCUUAACUCGGAAACUGCCUUUGAUACUAUCUGUCUUGAAUAUGGUGGAGGUAAGCGGAAUAUGUCAUGUAGCGGUGAAAUGCUUAGAUAUGACGUAGAACACCUAUUGCGAAGGCAGCUUACUACGCCUAUAUUGACGCUGAGGCACGAAAGCGUGGGGAUCAAACAGG